AUUGAACGCUGGCGGCGUGCUUAACACAUGCAAGUCGAUCGGUAACAGGUGUAGCAAUACAUGCUGACGAGAGGCGGACGGGUGAGGAAUAUUUGGGAAUCUACCCAUCAGCGGGGGACAACCCGGGGAAACCCGGGCUAAUACCGCAUACGCUCUACGGAGGAAAGCCGGGGACCGCAAGGCCUGGCACUGAUGGAUGAGCCCAAAUCGGAUUAGCUAGUUGGCGGGGUAACGGCCCACCAAGGCGACGAUCCGUAGCUGGUCUGAGAGGACGAUCAGCCACACCGGAACUGAGACACGGUCCGGACUCCUACGGGAGGCAGCAGUGGGGAAUAUUGGACAAUGGGGGAAACCCUGAUCCAGCGACGCCGCGUGGGUGAAGAAGGCCUGCGGGUUGUAAAGCCCUUUCGGUAGGGACGAAAGCUCUUGCUCUAACAAAGCAGGAGGUUGACUUAACCUACAUAAGAAGCACCGGCUAACUCUGUGCCAGCCGCCGCCGUAACAC
rnacentral:rRNA from 1 species